UGAUAGGGAUCCUAAGUGCUCUGCUUAUAGCAGGGCUUUUGCCAAAUGUAAAUAGUUUGGAGAAUAAGUGGUGGGCAAGACUGGUGCCAGCCGCCGCGGUAACACCAGCGUCCACGAGUGGUAGCCAUUUUUAUUGGGCCUAAAGCGUCCGUAGCCGGUUUGGCAGGUUCUUUGUGAAACUGUUAGGCUUAACCUAACAACGCGCAGAGGAUACCUCCGAACUUGGAACCGGGAGGGGUUAGAGGUAUUCUAGGGGGAGCGGUAAAAUGUUAUAAUCCCUAGAGGACCACCUGUGGCGAAGGCGUCUAACCAGAACGGAUUCGACGGUGAGGGACGAAAGCUAGGGGAGCAAUCCGGAUUAGAUACCCGAGUAGUCCUAGCUGUAAACGCUGCGAGCUAGGUGUUGCACAUCCUUAGUGAAUGUGCAGUGUCGGAGCGAAGGUGUUAAGCUCGCCGCCUGGGAAGUAUGGUCGCAAGACUGAAACUUAAAGGAAUUGGCGGGGGAGCACUACAAGGGGUGCGGCGUGCGGUUUAAUCUAAUUCAACGCAGAGCAUCUCACCAGAGGCGACGGCAGGAUGAUGGUCAGUCUAAAGGGCUUACCAGACGAGCCGAGAGGUAGUGCAUGGCCGCCGUCAGCUCGUGCCGUAAGGUGUCCUGUUAAGUCAGGCAACGAGCGAGACCUGUAUCUACAAUUGCUAACGAGUCUGCAAAGAUGAUUGAGCACAUUGUGGGGACUGCCUUGGAAACAAGGAGGAAGGCGCAGGCUACGGUAGGUCUGUAUGCUCCGAAUCUUCUGGGCUACACGCGCGCAACAAUGGUAGGAACAAUGGGAUACAACUCCGAAAGGAGAAGUUAACCCUCUAAAUCCUAUCUUAGUUCAGAUUGAGGGCUGUAACUCGCCCUCAUGACGUUGGAAUCCCUAGUAAUCGGGUGUUAUCAUCACCCGGUGAAUAUGUCCCUG
rnacentral:rRNA from 1 species